rnacentral:rRNA from 1 species
AGAGUUUGAUCCUGGCUCAGGACGAACGCUGGCGGCGUGCCUAAUACAUGCAAGUCGAGCGAUGAUUGAAGAUAGCUUGCUAUUUUCAUGAAGAGCGGCGAACGGGUGAGUAACGCGUGGGAAAUCUGCCGAGUAGCGGGGGACAACGUUUGGAAACGAACGCUAAUACCGCAUAACAAUGAGAAUCGCAUGAUUCUUAUUUGAAAGAAGCAAUUGCUUCACUACUUGAUGAUCCCGCGUUGUAUUAGCUAGUUGGUAGUGUAAAGGACUACCAAGGCGAUGAUACAUAGCCGACCUGAGAGGGUGAUCGGCCACACUGGGACUGAGACACGGCCCAGACUCCUACGGGAGGCAGCAGUAGGGAAUCUUCGGCAAUGGGGGCAACCCUGACCGAGCAACGCCGCGUGAGUGAAGAAGGUUUUCGGAUCGUAAAACUCUGUUGUUAGAGAAGAACGUUAAGUAGAGUGGAAAAUUACUUAAGUGACGGUAUCUAACCAGAAAGGGACGGCUAACUACGUGCCAGCAGCCGCGGUAAUACGUAGGUCCCAAGCGUUGUCCGGAUUUAUUGGGCGUAAAGCGAGCGCAGGUGGUUUCUUAAGUCUGAUGUAAAAGGCAGUGGCUCAACCAUUGUGUGCAUUGGAAACUGGGAGACUUGAGUGCAGGAGAGGAGAGUGGAAUUCCAUGUGUAGCGGUGAAAUGCGUAGAUAUAUGGAGGAACACCGGAGGCGAAAGCGGCUCUCUGGCCUGUAACUGACACUGAGGCUC